CCACCCGAUCCCGUUAGUCGCCUCUUACGACAAGCAUGGGUUACUGAAGAUCAGUUGUAAUGCGGAACUUCACGGGUGGCCUCUGGAAGGAGUUUAUAUUGACUUUAUAUUGACGUAUGUACAUGAAUACUACUUCAAACAAGAACGAUAACUCCCUUUCUGUUUAAUUCCAGCAGCAAUAAACAUUACUGAAGCACUCAAAA